UGUAAUUUUGUAGUAAUUAAAUGC
rnacentral:siRNA from 1 species